AAAGUGCUGAUGGUGUCGAGUGAAAAAAGCGGUGAAACAGAAGUGAAACCUCUUGCUUUCGGGCAAGGCUGGUAACGAAAUCUACUGACAAGGAACCGUGCCGGGAUUUAACGGAAUUGUUCGAACAAGGCCCGAGUAGUGCAGGAGAAUGAAGUUGGAUGCCAGCGUUUUACCAUUAGAGCUGGUAAUCACCGCUCAGCCACUAGUUGGGCUAUCCGGCUUGAAUAUGCAGCGGAACACUAUCCACAAAACGAUCUGGGAGGCGUUCAACAACGGCAAAAAGCCAGAAAGCGCAUCUAUAGAAUAUAAACUUCUUCCACCCAACCAUGAAUUUUCUGUAUCAAAACUAAAACACCAAUACUAUGAACGGUAUCACUCAAAAGGUAUCUUAAAACAAAACUAGAUGCUGAAAGAUUUGGAACGAUCUACAGUGGAGUGAGAAGCAGUUGCAGUGUGCUUCCAUUAUCCGGUAGCUGAAAAACUCACUCCUAGGACGAAAUACACGGCUAGCGGUAGUUUUAAUUCAAAAAGGUGCUAGCAUACCUCAAGGAGAUGAUUUUCUUGCUUCCGAUGGGGCAUCCAACCAACUGCCUCGAACUAGCGUGAAAUGAGCGACAGUUUUUCUCAGCGACACAUUUAUCCGACCCCAGCGCACGGGUGGCGUAGCGGCCAGUGUUGGAACUAAUUAAAACUGGAUAUUAUUUUAUAAAUUAAUUAAAUAAAUUAGAUUUUCAAUAUA